AGAGUUUGAUCAUGGCUCAGAACGAACGCUGGCGGCGUGGAUAAGACAUGCAAGUCGAGCGUCGUGAGUUUGAGUAGUAAUACCCAAACGAGCGAGCGGCUAACGGGUGAGUAACACGUGAGAAUCUGCCGGAAAGUGGGGAAUAGCCCAGCGAAAGUUGGAUUAAUACCGCAUGUGAUCGCAAGAUCAAAGGAGGGGACCCUUCGGGGCCUUUCGCUUUCCGAGGAGCUCGCGGCCUAUCAGCUUGUUGGUGAGGUAAAAGCUCACCAAGGCAGUGACGGGUAGCUGGUCUGAGAGGAUGAUCAGCCACACUGGGACUGAGACACGGCCCAGACACCUAUGGGUGGCAGCAGUCGAGAAUCAUUCGCAAUGGGGGCAACCCUGACGGUGCGACGCCGCGUGGAGGAUGAAGGCUUUCGGGUCGUAAACUCCUGUCACCACAGAACAAGGCAACUGUGUUAAUACCACGGAAGUUUGAUGGUAUGUG
rnacentral:rRNA from 1 species